GUUCGUCCUUGGUCUGCCUGCCUACUAGGUAGGAUUAGGAUCAGGGGCCCAGCUAACGCGUGAAACACUCCGCCUGGGGAGUACGGUCGCAAGACUGAAACUCAAAGGAAUUGACGGGGGCCUGCACAAGCGGUGGAGCAUGUGGUUUAAUUCGAUACAACGUGCAGAACCUUACCAGCCCUUGACAUAUGAACAAGUGUGCCUGUCCCUAACGGGAUGGUGCGAAAAUUCAUACAGGUGCUGCAUGGCUGUCAUCAGCUCGUGUCGUGAGAUGUUAUUGAGUCCACUACUCCAUAGAAGAAGUCAAAUUCUAAGAAAAAGUUGUUAAAACCCUAGCCAAAAUCUUUGAUGACCUUGAGUAUACACCAGAUUGCACAAUUGAGGCCAGUGAUGAUAAUCCUGGCACUGAACAUUCGUUUCAUGUCCAUGGUUCUGAUGGUGUGGAAACAAGCCAUGAAAAAGUGGAAAACACUGUCCCUAUAGAUGUAAAUGUUGAAACUCCGAUUUCUUCUCCGACUGCUAAAAAUAUUAUUGAUGUGGAACAACUUGAGGAGUUAAUUGACAAACCUAGAAGAAAUCCUAAAUGUAAAUGCACACUUUUAGAUAUGGAUAACUCCGUGCCUAGUUAUCCAUUACA
rnacentral:ncRNA from 1 species